AUUUUCAAAAAAUUUGCAAACCCUAAAGUUCAAAUCUCCUUUUCUCUCUCUCUCUCUCGGCCUCUCCUGCCACCACUUGACCCUUCUUCUCCUUCCAGCUCGUCCUCUCCCCCUUAUCUUCAUGGACUCUCGAAAUGUUGUUCAGUGUCAAGAUAAGAUUUCAAAAAAAAUCUCCAAAUUUACACCCAAAAACCUUAAGAUCUCCAAGCUUUACAAUGUUGCUUCAAUCCAACUAAAACUUCUCGUUUUUCGAUUACAAACAUGAAUUUCACGACAAGUUUUCGCGGGAACUUGAGUUUGCUGCCAGCGUAGUUCUUGCUGCCAUGUUCGUUUCCAGCCAUUUUUAGCUUGUUUACAUGUUCCUCGCCUAGAAUGUUGUCGUUUUGCAAGUUUUAGUUCAUACCAGGUUUCAAGAGAGAGAUUGUUUGUAGAGUAAUUGGGACAGAUACUGAACCAGAUAGCAACAAUGAUAAGGAAUAUAUACAGGAAAAGCAAAUAAAUGAAGAUGGGGAAAACCCACCUGCCACUGAUACCCAUCAGAAAAAUGAUAAACCUGAGCUUGAUUCGCAGCUUGAUGAUAUGAAGAUGAUACAGAAACAAAUGGUCUAGGUGGUGGUGUGCAGGGUAAUUGUGGUGUUUAAGGUAUAUCAUGCGUCAUCCAAGAAUAUUAGCUGGAAGAGUGAACAUAUGGCAGCGAUCAAAAAUGAGAAUUGGUGGGUGCUGGAUAUCAAUCGAAUCUAGUCAUGGAACUUGUUUUGUAAACGUUGUUGAUGAGGUUGGUGACAUUAUAAUUUGUUGCCGGAAGUUUAUUACUAAAAAUGCCAAAUAAAGAGGCAUACAGAAUGUGUAUCAACAUUAGUUACUCAGUAUCAAAUAGAUGUUCAAUACAGCUGAUUGCUAGA